AACGAACGCUGGCGGCGUGGAUAAGACAUGCAAGUCGAGCGGGAUUUUUUCCUGUAGCAAUACAGGGAAAAGUCUAGCGGCGAACGGAUGCUUAACACGUGGGCAACCUGCCAUGAAGUGGGGGAUAGCUCGCCGAAAGGCGAAUUAAUACCGCAUGUGAUCAGAAUGGACAUCCAUUCGAAAUUAAAGUCGGGGCAACCUGACGCUUCUUGAGGGGCCCGCGGCCUAUCAGCUAGUUGGUGAGGUAACGGCCCACCAAGGCUUUGACGGGUAGCUGGUCUGAGAGGACGACCAGCCACACUGGGACUGAGACACGGCCCAGACACCUACGGGUGGCAGCAGUCGAGAAUUUUUCUCAAUGGGGGAAACCCUGAAGGAGCGACGCCGCGUGGAGGAUGAAGGUCUUCGGAUUGUAAACUCCUGUCAUUGGGGAACAAUGUCCCGCCAUUAACUGUGGCGGGAUUGAUAGUACCCGAAGAGGAAGAGACGGCUAACUUCGUGCCAGCAGCCGCAGUAAGAC
rnacentral:rRNA from 1 species